rnacentral:lncRNA from 1 species
AUAUUUGAGGUAAAAUUAUUGAAAUAUUCUUCUAAAGGGGGUGCAAUGUAAAUAUCGAACUUUUUUUGUGGUAAAAUUAGCGAGAAAUUAAAGUUUCAAGCCGAAACUGCCUUAAUCCAUCCCUGACAACAAUCUGCAAUCACCAUAAUUAACAAGAAAUCUGUGAGCAUCUAUUCAUUGAAACUACCCCCAUAUAUUUCUCAAAAAACGGGACUGAAGACAAUAAGGAUAGAGACAUACCUCAACAUUCUCAAUAUGGAGUACACAAGCUGACCCUCCAUAUUAAAAUAAUGUAGAGAAUGUUAUGUCAACGGUUGCUGGGAAACGGUUGCUGGAAAACUGAUGUUGCAUUCACAUUAAUCAAUCGUAUUUCUUCAGAUGGAAAAUGUAAUAAUGACGUCAUAGUAUUGUAUGCGUCCUAGUGGAUCCUCCGGAUAAAAUAUCAAGGGACUGACUGACGGAUGGACGGACAGAGAUAAAACAAUAUGUCCCUGUUCUGCGAGAAGAACCUCCGAGUUAUGAUGGCAAUGUCUCCUACAAAUUGGAAAAAUCUACAACAAUAUCUGUUAAACUGGCUGGAUCAUAUACUUUGAAUGUUAAAAAAUUUAAUGUCUCUUCUAAUACUAAAAUACAUUAAAGGCAAC